UUUUAGGGUAUCUGGAAGAAG
rnacentral:piRNA from 1 species